AAAACUUAUGCUCAAAUAAAUUUGUUAGUCUCUAAGGUGCCACAAGUCCUCCUUUUCUUUUUGCGGAUACAGACUAACACGGCUGCUCCUCUGAAACCUUUUAUCAGAUAAGCAGCAGAUGUGGAAAGAUGGCAUCGCUUCCUAAGUGGGGAGGCAGAGAAAAUGACCAUCCUGACUUUUUGUGCAUUUUGUUCUCCUUGACCUAAUUUUUCUACUAUUCUGUGCUUUUGAAAUCCUUAGAUGUAGGCAUAGAAGCUUGUCACAUGAACUGAGUCUAAAUGGACCUGUGGCAUAAUUAAUAUAGUAAUUAGAAAACUAGUUAAAAGAACCUUUUCCCAGGUAACAUAUAUUGUGUGUUGCUAACUAGCUGUGCAUUUCUAAUUUGCCCUUUGUCCUAUUAUCUAGGCUCUAAUGUAGAUAGCAUCGUAUCUUCCACAUGUAUUUACAUUUUGUAGGAAUAUAUUAUAGUUCAAAAUAUAUGAAAGCCCUUAAGUACUUUGUGGAUCGGGACCAGAACACUUAUCACCUAGAAAGACUGACCAUUGUGUGAGUAAACCAAAACACGUGAGUCGUUUUUUAUGUUGAGGGAAAAAAUAUUUUCCACAAAAUUCACUCAAUAGAUUGUUCUCCCUUUCCUGUUAAAGGAUGGACGGAGACCAAGCAUGUAAAGUUUCAAUGUAAAAGGAUAAUUUUUCAGAAAGUCUGAGCAACUGAAAACGGGUCCUUACUGGAAGUGGGUUUGCAACUUAAAGUACAGUGUUUGCUAGCAGAUGGAUUUGGGUGGUGUCUUGAUGUGUGAAAUCAACUCAAACCACAAGUUACAUUUAACUAUAUGUUUCUUAUCUCUUCCGUGUUUCCAAGCUUGUAAUGCAAAGCAAAAAAUGGUCAUACAUUAUUUGGCAGAAACUGGACUGUUUGUAGUUUAUAACAAUAUUUGCUUCUAAAAGUAAUGUUAGUAAAUGAUGGUAAGAUGAACUGUUGUUUUUUAGCAAUACAAAAAAAAAGAUCUAACACAAUAUUAGAUAUUUUUCUUUGAUCAAUCAUUGUGCCAACUUUGUUGGUGGAUGCAGGGAUGGAAAGAGCUAAUUCAUAAAGACACAAAGUAAUAAAUUAUGCUCUCAAUUAUACUACUGUAAAUGUGGACUAAAACCUUUGGCUUCAUGGUACUACCUCAGAUUUACACCAGUGUUAUAGAGCAGAACUUGCCCUCAAAAAAGUGAUGAAGUAUACUCCUUUGUACUGUACAUAUGCUUAAGACUGUUUUAUGAAGGUGCCUUCUUAAUUGCAUCCCCAAUAUUUACAAUAUUCCUCAUCUGAGCAUGAAAAAGUGUGAUUCUAUGCCCUUGUCAUUUUCCUCUUAGAUCAAGUAACAUCAUGGCUCCCCAAUGUUCCUUCUUCCCUCCCAACUUUCACUGUUUUUUUUUCUCUUUUAUUCAUCUCCCUGUUAUCUUGGCAAGUCCAAUGGCUGACAUUCCCUUGAUACGUUCAUUCUGAGUAGCUUGCCGUGUAGUACAUUGACUGUUGAUUGUCAUUUCACAGGUUUCAUUUAUCAGCUAUUUGUUUGAAAGGAAUUAACCAAUAAUCCAUAUUUGUUACAAAGUAAUAAAAUAAGUGCAGAUUUUAGAAGGUUUAUUAUUGUAUCAGGUAUUUCUCAUAAAGUGCAAUUUAGUUAGGAAUUUUUCUCAUCAAAGCAGGAAAUGUCUUUGACUUUUUCAUACUUAGUAAAAAAUUUUUAAAAUGCUCUUGACAAUUCUUGGAAACUUUUUAUCGGAGGGGGAGCAAAUUUGUUUAGAACCAAUUCUUUUUCUUUUUUUUCUUUUCAGGCAUUAUCUAUUUUUUUUCUUUUUAUUACAGGGGUCAUUUGCAUUGAUAAAGUUCAUUUGGAUCUGCUGGUUAUUCUCCAUCUGAAGUCACAGUCUUCUAUUUGUGACUUCACAAUUAGUUGUGGUGGAGUUGAUGACUGAGACACGGCAGAAAUACAAGCAGAUGAAUGUUAAGAAACUAAAUUCCAAACUUGUGAGAGAGUGGGGAUUUCCUUAAAUCCCAGUGCAUUCUGGGGCAUGAGUUCAAGAGCCAGCCAAGGGUUUUAAGGCCAACCAAGUGGUAUUAAUAGCAGAGGAAGCACAAGCCCUUUCCACUUAUACUGUUGCAGAAAGGGGUAAAGUCAAGCAGAACACCAAUUCUUCAGAAGAUGCUUGAUAAUGAAGAUUUGGACUCAGCAGGCCUACUUUGCUGGCUCACUGACUAAACAGAAUGGGUGAGACAGACCAAUCAGAUAUCAAAGAGCCAAGAGUAAGCCUGCUAACCACUGCCUGAAGACCCUAAAGAGGAAAGGCUGAUAGGAGCGAUUGAAUCUGCUCCACCAGAAGACAAGUGACCAGAGGGAGGGAAGGAAAAUCUGAAUGAGUCAUCAGUUUUGUAACAAAUACAAUCUUGUCAAAUGAACUUUAGCUUUGAGUAUUCAGAUUCCCAUAAACCCUAAAGUUAAAUUGGAGGUCAUGAAACCAGGCAACUCAUACAAUAUAAGAUUGUCCAAAACUCACUAUGAACCAAUACAUCUGGUGUUCACACAGCCCAAGAACACACUCUUAAUUGCAAGAAUAGCCAUUCCAAGCUGUAACUGGAUCCCCAGGGUACAGCCUGGAACUGGGGUACCGCUGUGCCCUCUUAACUCUGCAGCCUGGGCUCUCUCUCUCAAUGCUUUGCUAAUGACAAGCACCAAACCCCUCUGGGUGCUAUUAUAAUUCCGUACAACAGCAUGUGGAGCCCCACACCCAGCUAGAUUGAAUGAGCCACUCAUGAAUCACACAGAGAAAGACACUAGUCAGUUCCACCCAACUCCACACCCUUAUACCCCAAGAGCUGUACCAUCUUGCCCUGGUCAGAAGCCUGAUCAGUGUAAGUUCCUUACCCAGUCUGCCCCUCCCUCGAUGUGGAGAGGAUACACACUAGCCUUUGUGACCUGAGCUAAGAUUUCCCAAGCACUUCAACCAAAACACACUGUUUUAAGUAAAAUAUAAAACAGAUUUAUUAACUACAAAAAGAUAGAUUUUAAGUUAUUAGAAGUGGGAGGCAAAGGUAAGCACGCAGUCUAAAUCUUAAACCAUAUUAGACUAGGCAGUAUUUGAAUCAAGCAGUUUUCUCACCCCAUUGGAUGCUGCAGGUCGGUUAUAGUCCUUAAUACACAGGCUUCUCCUUUAAGCCUAAAACCAGUCUCCUCAGUUCAAGUUUUUCUCUUCCCAGUGUUCUUGUUGUUCCAGAGUAGGUGGGGGAGGAGAAAGGUCAAAGCAUGAUACCACUGUCUCAGAUAUUAUAUCCUCAGUCCACGUGCCUGGAAAACACUAGCCCAGACAUGUCCUGGUGGGCUUUGCUGAGUCACAGAGUUGAGCAAUCCCUCAUUGUGUGAUGCUUGUGCAGCCCUCUUACCAUAUUCUAAACCCCUUGUUUACAACUCCCCUGCUGAUUAAUGGUCGCUUAACACCCUACUCCACCUAGCAGCAGAGACUCUCAAACUUACAACAUAUUUCAGUAACAACCAUACAGCAAAACCCCAUAACUUCAUACACAAUAAUGAUAUACAUAUUUGGAUAGAACAAUGGGUUUCAGCAGUUCAUGACCUUUCACAUGAUAUCUUACAUGGCAUGUUUUGUAUGAAAUAUAUCAUAAUUAUAUGACAGGAGUGAGUAUGGGGAUUCCAGGGUGCUGUUUUGAGGUACAGCAUGUCACACAAGCACAUUGCUAUUCUUAGCUCUUAUGAAACUACAAUGUAUUAUUACUACAUUACUACAUUAUUACUACAUAUUCCAUAAUGAUAACCAUACAUUAUUUAUUUACUUAUUGUGUAUCAUAAAAUAUUACAGUAGACCCACAGACUUUCAUACCAAUGGUAACACUUAUCACUUUCUAUUUAUUGUUCAAUCGCUUUCCUGUGAGUAAGGAGAAAAUGACUCACUCUUAGAUUCACCAAGCAGGGCUAAAGUAAAGAAAUGGUUGCAACCAGGCUUAGCACAAGUAAAAUAUAUAACUAAUACCACAUUAGAAAACAUCUCCAACAAUAAUGACCAUUUUGUAAUGUCUUGGCAUGAUCACACGGAAUCAUAGAGUAGUGGUCAUGUGGUUUUCUUUAUUUUCCAUUUGUACUCAUUGAGUUCUUAUUCUGAUCAACUUUUUUUCCCCUUUUUCUUUUACUUUAUUAGAAGCAGAAGGCAAUACCCCUGGCUCCUGUACCACUGGGCACAAAUAGGAACAACAAGUCCUCUCAGACCUGCAAUAUUACUGGAGCAUUUGGAACCCAUUAUUGCAACCAAAUAUGAUACUGUUCAUCACACUGAACACUCAUUCCACUGGAUUGUUUGCUCCUGGUAAACACAGAGCAAAUUCAAUUUAGUAGGGCAAUAUGUCCUGAACAAACAUUUUAUUAUAAAGAGAAAAAUCUGAACAUGUUGACUGAUUAAAUGAAAAACCCAGUAUAUCCCAGGUGUCUGAGAAAGAAGUUCCUGGGAUACCAAGACAGCAUAUGAAAAAACAGGGCAUUUCUGGAAAAAACAGAAUAUAGGGUCUUGUUAACAGUAGCUCACAUUGGAAAAAAUAAUAUUUCAGUGGUUCUCAACUCUCAAGCACGUCCAUGAGAUUUUUCUUACAAUAAGUGUUUAAAAAACAAAACAGAAGACAUUUGCACCCAACGUGUGUUCUGUAUACACUAUUCAUAUAUUUUCCUCCUGUAACACUACAUUUAUAGUUAAUUAAAAUAAACUAUUUCCAUUCAGCACACCUGUCUCUGACAGACUUAAUUUUCAAAACAAAAAUAUUUUUCUCCACAUAAUAAGAACAUUAAAAUAAACUUAAUUUUUGAACAAGUAACUAAACUCAUGUCAAGAAUGAUAACGUUGCUGCUUUCCUUGAACUGUGGUUAAUAAUAAUUGGUUAAACCAAGAUAUUUGUUCAACAGUGGAGUCGCUAUAUUAGCCUACAGUGUGAUUUCAGACUUAAACCACUAGGGCAAUAAAAUUGAAAGGAACAGAAAACAAAGGCCUAGAUCCUCAGCUAGCGUAACUGGGGUAGUUCCUGACCUAUUUCAAUUUACACUGACAGAGGACGUGGCUCAGAGUGUGUUCCUUUAGUCUUUGCUGGUUGUUUACUGAGAGGAUUUUUUGUGUGGCUGUGCAAAUUCUGAGGCAAUGGUACAUCACCAGAUAAGCCUGCUCAUCAGAACUUCAGCCUCACAAUUUUCCAUUCAAAAACAAGUAGAAAACAAAAAAAUUACUUCAUAUUACUGGAAAGGUUUUAUUUUCCAUCUUUUCCCAUACCCUAGCUCCCAACAGUGGAUAACACUCUGGUUUAAAGCAAGGUAUAAAACCUCAAUAAGAGACAAUUAUGCUGUUCUCUGCCUGUGGGAGAUGUCUUCCGAGCCCCAGACAGUUACUUAUGACUUGAAAUAUGAGUGCUGAUAUCUCAUGCUUGGUUUUAGCUAAUGCAAAUGUGAAUAAUAUUCACAUAGUUCAUAUAAAUGUCUAAUCUUGUUUUGAAUGCUAUUAAGCUCUUGGUCUCAAUAGUAUUUUGUAUCAAGGAGUUCCACAGGUUAACUACAUAUUGUAGAGAAGUUUUUCCUUUUAUUGGUGUGAUGGGUUCGGUCACAGAGACCCCCCUUGGGACUGUCACCUGAUGUGCUGAGACUACCUCUGAGCUCAUUUUCUCUGAUGGCUUGGGGCUCCAGAACCUGUCUUGUUGAGCCAGCACGCUAGUCUGCUGCAACACAGACCCAGGUCUGGUCCACACCCCCAAAGCUGCAGACUUUAACCAAAAACUGCUCAGUAAGUCACCUUCUCCAGCACCC